UACAUAGGGUCCAAGCGUUAUCCGGAUUUAUUGGGCGUAAAGCGCGCGUAGGUGGUCGAUUAAGUCGGGUGUUAAAUUUGGAAGCUCAACUUCCAUACGCGCCCGAGACUGGUUGGCUUCGAGGUUGGAAGAGGGAAGUGGAACUCACAGUGUAGCGGUGAAAUGCGUAGAUAUUGUGAGGAACACCAGUGGCGAAGGCGACUUCCUGGUCCAAUUCUGACGCUAAAGCGCGAAAGCAUGGGGAGCAAACAGG
rnacentral:rRNA from 1 species